AUACGGAGGAUCCGAGCGUUAUCCGGAUUUAUUGGGUUUAAAGGGAGCGUAGGUGGACAGUUAAGUCAGUUGUGAAAGUUUGCGGCUCAACCGUAAAAUUGCAGUUGAUACUGGCUGUCUUGAGUACAGUAGAGGUGGGCGGAAUUCGUGGGGUAGCGGUGAAAUGCUUAGAUAUCACGAAGAACUCCGAUUGCGAAGGCAGCUCACUGGACUGCAACUGACACUGAUGCUCGAAAGUGUGGGUAUCAAACAGGAUUAGAUACCCUGGUAGUCCACACAGUAAACGAUGAAUACUCGCUGUUUGCGAUAUACAGUAAGCGGCCAAGCGAAAGCAUUAAGUAUUCCACCUGGGGAGUACGCCGGCAACGGUGAAACUCAAAUGAAUUGACGGGG
rnacentral:rRNA from 1 species